rnacentral:rRNA from 1 species
AAGCGGUGGAUCAUGUUGUUUAAUUCGAUGAUACGCGAAGAACCUUACCAGGUCUUGACAUCCCCCGCGAUGCUUUAGAGAUAAAGCGGAGGUAUUCGGGGAGACAGGUGGUGCAUGGUUGUCGUCAGCUCGUGUCGUGAGAUGUUGGGUUAAGUCCCGCAACGAGCGCAACCCCUAUUGCUAGUUACCAUCAUUAAGUUGGGGACUCUAGCGAGACUGCCAGUGAUAAACUGGAGGAAGGUGGGGGAUGACGUCAAAUCAUCAUGCCCCUUAUGACCUGGGCUACAAACGUGAUACAAUGGCUGGAACAAAGGGAUGCGAAGCAGUGAUGUGGAGCGAAACCCAUAAAAACAGUCUCAGUUCGGAUUGAAGUCUGCAACUCGACUUCAUGAAGUCGGAAUCGCUAGUAAUCGCGGAUCAGAACGCCGCGGUGAAUACGUUCUCGGGGUUU